CUUGACUCUUAUAAGAGGUCCAGCCUGCCCAGUGACCAUGUUCAACGGCCGCGGUAUCCUAACCGUGCGAAGGUAGCGUAAUCACUUGUUCUUUAAAUGUGGACUAGUAUGAAUGGCACCACGAAGGUUAUACUGUCUCCUUUUUCUAAUCAGUGAAACUAAUCUCCCCGUGAAGAAGCGAGGAUAUACCUAUAAGACGAGAAGACCCUAUGGAGCUUUAAACAACACAGCAAUUACCUGCUAAACUAAGAAGUUUCUGAACAUUUUCAAUCUUUUAAGUAACCUGACUGCAAGUUUUUGGUUGGGGUGACCACGGAGCAUAACACAACCUCCAUGUUGAAAGAAUUCUUUCUAAGCCAAGAACAACCUUUCUAAGCAUCAAUAUAUUGACAUCCAUUGACCCAAUACAUUUGACCAACGAAC
rnacentral:rRNA from 1 species